rnacentral:misc_RNA from 1 species
CGCGCUGGCCGCGUGUGGCGCGCUGCUGGCACUGGAGAGGCUGGCGCACGUCGGCGAGGCGCUGCCGCCCGCCCUACUGCCCCCCGCCCGCGUGCGGGACGUACUCGCGCGCAGGUCAGUGCCCCGCCCGCUCACCUCUCUCCGCACUAUCUCACACUACACUGUCCUCUAACGCUGGAGAGGCUGGCGCACGUCGGCGAGGCGCUGCCGCCCGCCCUACUGCCCCCCGCCCGCGUGCGGGACGUACUCGCGCGCAGGUCAGUGCCCCGCCCGCUCACCUCUCUCCGCACUAUCUCACACUACACUGUCCUCUAACGCUGGAGAGGCUGGCGCACGUCGGCGAGGCGCUGCCGCCCGCCCUACUGCCCCCCGCCCGCGUGCGGGACGUACUCGCGCGCAGGUCAGUGCCCCGCCCGCUCACCUCUCUCCGCACUAUCUCACACUACACUGUCCUCUAACGCUGGAGAGGCUGGCGCACGUCGGCGAGGCGCUGCCGCCCGCCCUACUGCCCCCCGCCCGCGUGCGGGACGUACUCGCGCGCAGAACGGACUUCAAACUUGAAGACAUUAAGCGACUAAAGCUGUAGAAAUGUCAAUAAUUUUAUUUAAAAAACUCGAUAUAUAUUGUAUAUCUAUAUUGUAAACAUUGUGGCAAUAAAUAUGUAGUAACCUAAAAAU